UACGGAGGGUGCAAGCGUUGUCCUGAGUUACUGGGCGUAAAGCGCACGCAGGCGGUCUGCUAAGUUUGGAGUGACAGUUGGUGGCUUAACUGCCAAAGUGCUUCGAAAACUGACAGACUUGAGGGCUUCAGAGGGACACGGAAUUCCGGGUGGAGUGGUGAAAUGCGUAGAGAUCCGGAGGAACACCAAAGGCGAAGGCAGUGUCCUGGGGAGUACCUGACGCUCAGGUGCGAAAGCCAGGGGAGCGAACGGG
rnacentral:rRNA from 1 species